AGAGAAGGGCCUGCUGUUGAGAUCACAAGAGCAAAGUGGAUGGUACCAGUGUAUGGCUCUAGCUGACAGCUAGACAGGCUUCAGUUACAGACCUAGUUCAGCCUGCACUAAACCAGCAGGCUGAACAAGGUUAGAGGGAACUCAGAGCGCAGAGUUCCGAGUGUGUAUAUCACCUGUGAGAGCGAUUAGCCAAUCACGGCCGGGCACACGCUCCCAACGAAGCAACUGUCUCGCUCUUUGAUGUGAAAUCUAAUUAAUGCUGCAAAGCCCCUCUCCUCGCAGUGAGUAUCCCCUGCCGUAAAUGACAGGGGAGAGAGCAGGAGAGAGACAGGGAGAGAGAAACAAGCAGCUCAACUUUAGAGAUUUCAUCCUUCUCAGUUGAGCUCUCUUCUGUCUCUCUGUCUCCAUGCACUGAUGACUUCUGAAACCUCUUUUCUCUUUAUCAUCAUGGGUCCUGCCUCACUGAGAGAUAUCCCUGGCUGUGUUUCAUAAGUGUGUGUGUGUGUGUGUGUGUGUGUGUGUGUGUGUGUGUGUUGACUUGUUUUCAUAUCCUGUUUUCAGACCAGAAUGUCCUGACAAGGCAGGAAACAAAUGUAAAUUCUGAAAAGUCAGGACAUUUUGCGUGUAAUUUCAGGUUUAAGGGUUAGGUUUGGGGUUAAGGUUAGGGUUAGGAGUUAGGUUUAGGGUUAAGGUUAGGAGUUAAGUUUAGGGUUAAGGUUAGGGGUAGGGUUAGGAGUUAGGUUUGGGGUUAAGGUUAAGGGUAGGGUAGGGUUAGGAGUUAGGUUUGGGUUAAGGUUAGGGGUAGGGGUAGGAGUUAGGUUUAGGGUUUGGAGUUAAGGUUAGGGGUAGGGUUAGGAGUUAGGUUUAGGGUUAAGGUUAGGAGUUAUGUUUAGGGUUUGGGGUUAGGGGUAGGAGUUAGGUUUAGGGUUUGGUUUAGGGUUAAAGUGGAACUGACAGCGUUCCAACUACUUUGCAUCUAUGAAACAGACCAUCAUAAUAUCAGUCAAAAAUAUAAAAUUCCCAGUUUAUGCUACAAACCAACUUAAUGUGAGGUUUUAAAAAUAGAUUCUAUUUGACUCAGCAUUCCAUGAUGUACACUAAGACAUUGUUGGCAGAAUAGAUGGAUGCAGUUCUAUGCAUGAUUCAUAUAAUUCACCAGUACAUGUGUUGAUAGUCCAGAAGAUAUGACCAUCAGGUUGUAACACAGCUGGCCUGGUACGUUGUUUGCUGCCUCCAUUCAGGAUGCACUGUUUCAGUUUCAACGACUCAAUAUUUUAGACAAUAACGAACGAAUGUAACUAAAGGUGGGAAUACAAUCAAUACAAUCAAACUAGCAAGGGCAAUGAUCACAAGUCAGUCAUAACCUGGCUAAAAGGGUAGCGUAUCUAUUUAUGUAGCAAGCUAAAAACACAGAGCCUAACUUUAGCUAGCUGCUAGUUCGGCGGUCGACGUCCGGUUUUCUAGCCAUCGCCAAUCCACCUUUCAUUUUUCCAUUUGUCUUGUCUUGUUUUCCUACACACCUGGUUUCAAUUCCCUCAGUAUUAGACGUGUAUAUAACCCUCUAUUCCCACCCCAUGUCUGUGUGUGGAAUUGUUUAUUGUUUCGUGUAUGUGCACGCUAGCUAGACUGGUCUGCGCUGGGUUAUGUCAACCCAUAUUGUGUUUAGGGUUCUUAGUGCCGUGGGUUUUGUCAACCCAUAUUGUGUUUAGGGUUCUUAGUGCUGUGGGUUAUGUCAACCCAUAUUGUGUUUAGGGUUCUUAGUGCUGUGGGUUAUGUCAACCCAUAUUGUGUUUAGGGUUCUUAGUGCUGUGGGUUAUGUCAACCCAUAUUGUGUUUAGGGUUCUUAGUGCUGUGGGUUAUGUCAACCCAUAUUGUGUUUAGGGUUCUUAGUGCUGUGGGUUUUUGUUCGCCGAAAUAAAAGGCUCCUUUGUCUCCC
ensembl:lncRNA